rnacentral:rRNA from 1 species
CUGAUGCAGCAACGCCGCGUGAGGUAUGAAGGCCUUUGGGUGUGUGAAGCCUCUGUCCUAGGGGAAGAAAAAAAUGACGGUACCCGAGGAGGAAGCCCCGGCUAACUACGUGCCAGCAGCCGCGGUAAUACGUAGGGGGCAAGCGUUAUCCGGAAUUAUUGGGCGUAAAGAGUGCGUAGGUGGUCUACUAAGCGCGAGGUGAAAGGCAAUGGCUCAACCAUUGUUAGCCUUGCGAACUGGCAGACUUGAGUGCAAGAGAGGAAAGCGGAAUUCCUAGUGUAGCGGUGAAAUGCGCAGAUAUUAGGAGGAACACCGGCGGCGAAGGCGGCUUUCUGGAUUGUAACUGACACUGAGGCACGAAAGCGUGGGUAGCAAACAGGAUUAGAUACCCUGGUAGUCCACGCCGUAAACGAUGAGCACUAGGUGUCGGGACAUGAGUCUCGGUGCCGCAGUUAACGCAAUAAGUGCUCCGCCUGGGGAGUACGCACGCAAGUGUAAACUCAAGGAAUUGGACAGGGACCCGCACAGCAGCGA